rnacentral:rRNA from 1 species
ACGUAGGGGGCAAGCGUUGUCCGGAUUUAUUGGGCGUAAAGAGCUCGUAGGUGGUUCGGUAAGUCAGGUGUGAAACCUCCAGGCUCAACCUGGAGACGCCACUUGAUACUGCCGUGACUGGAGUCCGGUAGGGGAGCGUGGAAUUCCUGGUGUAGCGGUGAAAUGCGCAGAUAUCAGGAGGAACACCAGCGGCGAAGGCGGCGCUCUGGGCCGGUACUGACACUGAGGAGCGAAAGCGUGGGUAGCAAACAGGA